rnacentral:lncRNA from 1 species
UCAAAUAGUUUUCAAAGUCUUCACUUCCAUUAUCUAAUUUUCUACUCCACUUCAGAAAAGUCUUAAUAAAUACAAUAUCUUCAAUUUAAGAGAAUCAGAAACACAACUGAAAUUCAUAAAUUCAUCAGUAGAUGUAACAAAAAAUAAAGUUCAUCACCCGUAAAGAAAUUUGGAUGGACUUACUCUAUGGAAGUAUUACAAUUUUGAAUGGUUUUCUCAAUUCAAAACUUUAAAUCGUUACACAAAUAUUCAAAACCAUAAUAAAAAUCACCACUGUGUGUACAAACAGAAUUACCACAUAUAAGUUCAAGUAAGAGACCAGUCUCAAAAGAACAACAACUGAGAUCAAGUUUAGUGGAGUCUAUGAUACUAUUUUAAUAUCAAAUAGGACGUCAAUUUCUCCACUUUGCUACAAUAAGUUGCAUGUACCAGUCAUAUAAACCUUUACUCCAUGUUUAUAAUUGUAUAUAUCUAUUUUGUGUCAAGUCUAAAACUCAACAAUAGACUAAAGAUACUUCUUGAUCUAAUAUAAAGUGGGUUUCUAACUCUUGAAUCCACUAUCUACUCAAGAUAAGAUCCAAUAUAUAUAGUGUUGAUACGUAAACACUAAGAGGAACAUAUUCAAGUGCAAUAUUAUUUAGCUCAACUCAUUUUGAGUUAAGAGAUUCAAAUCGAAUGAUUGAAAUACUUGAACCUUUAUAACAUUGGUCAUCUACCAAAACCACUUUGAUGCACUUACUAUCUGAUAUGUCCUUCUUGGUCCAUUUUCAUUCUCCUCAUCUAUCCCGCGUUUGUUCUAGCUUAUUUAAUACUUAAGAUCCAAAGUCAUAUGCAAAUUAGAACAUUGCUACAUAAGCACGUCCUAGAGAAUUAGCUACAUCAGGUCACACAUCUUUCAACUCACGUAGCGGGUAGUGUCAACAAAGAAACUGAUGCUUCAAUUUAAAGUUUUCAUCUGUUGUAAAGAGACUAGUUUGAACUUACUACUCACCAAAAAAAUAUGACCAAAAAAAAUGUCAACACUAUGUUAACCAUCUCAACUAAGUCACAUUCGAGAAAAAGGUCAUCUAUAACAGACUUUAACAAUUCCAAUGCUCAAG